UACAGAGGGGGCAAGCGUUGUUCGGAAUUACUGGGCGUAAAGGGCGCGUAGGCGGCCUUCUAAGUCGAACGUGAAAUCCCCGGGCUCAACCCGGGAACUGCGUCCGAUACUGGAAGGCUUGAAUCCGGGAGAGGGAUGCGGAAUUCCAGGUGUAGCGGUGAAAUGCGUAGAUAUCUGGAGGAACACCGGUGGCGAAGGCGGCGUUCUGGACUGCAACUGACACUGAAAAACGAAAGCCAGGGAGCAAACGGG
rnacentral:rRNA from 1 species